rnacentral:rRNA from 1 species
AUUGAACGCUGGCGGCAGGCCUAACACAUGCAAGUCGAACGAGUGGCGGACGGGUGAGUAAUGUCUGGGAAAGUGCGUGAUGGGGGGGGAUAACUACUGGACACGGUAGCUAAUAGCGCAUACCAUCGGAUGUGCCCAGAUGGGAUUAGCUAGUAGGUGGGGUAAAGGCUAACCGAGGCGACGACCCCUAGCUGGUCUGAGAGGAUGACCAGCCACACUGGGACUGAGACACGGUCCAGACUCCUACGGGAGGCAGCAGUGGGGAAUAUUGCACAAUGGGCGCAAGCCUGAUGCAGCCAUGCCGCGUGUAUGAAGAAGGCCUUCGGGUUGUAAAGUACUUUCAGUCGGGAGGCGUUACCCGCAGAAGAAGCACCGGCUAACUCCGUGCCAGCAGCCGCGGUAAUUC